rnacentral:rRNA from 1 species
AAAGUCUGACCUGCCCUAUGAGUUUUUAAAUGGNUGCGAUACCCUGAUCGUGCAAAGGUAGCAUAAUAAUUAGUUUUUUAAUUGAGAACUGGAAUGAAAGGCUGAACGAGAAAAAGNCUGUCUCAAUCUAAAUUUAAUUAGAAUUUUAUUUUUAAGUAAAAAAGCUUAAAUAUAUUUAAAAGACGAGAAGACCCUAUAGAGUUUUAUAUAAAUAUAGAUAUUUAAAAGUUAAAGAAUUUUAGAUUUGAAUAUAUAUAUUUAUAUUUGGUUGGGGUGAUUAAAAAAUUUAAUAAACUUUUUUUAUUAUUAUACCAUUGAUUUAUGAAUAAGUGAUCCA